rnacentral:rRNA from 1 species
GAGUUUGAUCCUGGCUCAGGACGAACGCUGGCGGCGGGCUUCAUACAUGCAAGUCGAACGAGAACGUGUCCUUCGGGGCGCAAGUAAAGUGGCGCACGGGUGGGUAACGCGUGGGCAACCUACCCUUGAGUGGGGAAUAACCAUCGGAAACGGUGGCUAAUACCGCAUAUUGUCCUGUGUUGCAUGACGCAGGAUGAAAGUCUUCGGGCGCUCAGGGAUGGGCCUGCGUCGGAUUAGUUAGUAGGUAGGGUAACGGCCUACCUAGGCAACGAUCCGUAGCUGGUCUGAGAGGACGAUCAGUCACACUGGCACUGAGACACGGGCCAGACUUCUACGGAAGGCAGCAGUAGGGAAUCUUGGGCAAUGGGCGCAAGCCUGACCCAGCCACGCCGCGUGGAGGAUGACACCCCUAGCGGGCGUAAACUCCUUUUGUACGGGAAGAAGGCCUCCUUGAAGGAGGAUUGACGGUACCGUACGAAUAAGCCCCGGCUAACUACGUGCCAGCAGCCGCGGUAAUACGUAGGGGGCAAGCGGUACCCGGAAUCACUGGGCGUAAAGUGCGCGUAAGCGGUUGGAUAAGUCUCUUGUGAAAGCUCCGGCUCAACUGGGAGAGGUCAAGGCAUACUAUUCGACUUGAGGACAGCAGAGGUAAGCAGAAUUCCCGGUGUAGCGGUGGAAUGCGUACAUAUCGGGAGGAACACCAGUGGCGAAGGCGGCUUACUGGCUG